AGCAGCCGCGGUAAUUCCAGCUCCAAUAGCGUAUAUUAAAGUUGUUGCAGUUAAAAAGCUCGUAGUUGAAUUUCAGGCCUGGCUGGACGGUCCGCCCUUCGGGUGAGUACUGUCUGUGGUCGGGUCCUACCUUCUGGCGAAGCGUCAUGGCCUUAACCGGCCGUGGCGGGGAACCAGGACUUUUACUGUGAAAAAAUUAGAGUGUUCAAAGCAGGCAAUCGCUUGGAUACAUUAGCAUGGAAUAAUGGAAUAGGACGAUGGUUCUAUUUGUUGGUUUCUAGGACCGUUGUAAUGAUUAAUAGGGAUAGUUGGGGGCAUUAGUAUUCAAUUGUCAGAGGUGAAAUUCUUGGAUUUAUUGAAGACUAACUACUGCGAAAGCAUUUGCCAAAGGAUGUUUUCAUUAAUCAAGAACGAAAGUUAGGGGAUCGAAGACGAUCAGAUACCGUCGUAGUCUUAACCAUAAACUAUGCCGACUAGGAAUCGGGCGAUGUUGACAAAAUGACGCGCUCGGCACCUCAU
rnacentral:rRNA from 1 species